CGGUGGAGCAUGUGGUUUAAUUCGAAGCAACGCGAAGAACCUUACCAGGCCUUGACAUGCAGAGAACUUUCCAGAGAUGGAUUGGUGCCUUCGGGAACUCUGACACAGGUGCUGCAUGGCUGUCGUCAGCUCGUGUCGUGAGAUGUUGGGUUAAGUCCCGUAACGAGCGCAACCCUUGUCCUUAGUUACCAGCACGUUAUGGUGGGCACUCUAAGGAGACUGCCGGUGACAAACCGGAGGAAGGUGGGGAUGAUGUCAAGUCAUCAUGGCCCUUACGGCCUGGGCUACACACGUGCUACAAUGGUCGGUACAAAGGGUUGCCAAGCCGCGAGGUGGAGCUAAUCCCAUAAAACCGAUCGUAGUCCGGAUCGCAGUCUGCAACUCGACUGCGUGAAGUCGGAAUCGCUAGUAAUCGUGAAUCAGAAUGUCACGGUGAAUACGUUCCCGGGCCUU
rnacentral:rRNA from 1 species